AGCCCAAACCAGGGGCUUUGCUCCUGGGGUUGUAGGGCUCCGAUGUGGUAUCCUGAAAGUUAGUUGAAAGCGAUGGAAAACGCUUCCAUAGAAGGUGAAAGGCCUGUAGACGAAAACUGGAUGGAGCCUAGGAUGUCCCUGAGUAAUACGGAACACGUGAAACUCCGUAUGAAUCUGCGCCGACCAUGGCGUAAGGCUAAAUACUAACUGGCGACCGAUAGUGAACUAGUACCGUGAGGGAAAGGUGAAAAGUACCCCUUUGAGGGGAGUGAAAUAGUACCUGAAACCGUGUGCCUACAAGGAGUGGGAGCCUCUUCGGAGGUGACCGCGUGCCUUUUGCUUAAUGAGUCUACGAGUUAGUGUCUGUGGCAAGCUUAAGCGCUUUUGGUGCGUAGGCGUAGCGAAAGCGAGUCCGAAUAGGGCGACCAUAGUCGCAGGCGCUAGACCCGAAACGGAGGUGACCUACCCAUGGCCAGGUUGAAGCAACGGUAAAACGUUGUGGAGGACCGAACCGGUACAGGUUGAAAACUGUUCGGAUGAGCUGUGGGUCGGAGUGAAAGGCUAAUCAAACCCCGUGAUAGCUGGUUCUCCUCGAAAUGCAUUUAGGUGCAGCGUCGCGUGCUUACCCUCGGGGGUAGAGCACUGAAUGAGCUAGGGCCCAUACCCGGGUACCAAACUCAACUAAACUCCGAAUACCGGGGGGUGGAACGCGGCAGUGAGACUGCGGGGGAUAAGCUUCGUAGUCGAAAGGGAAACAGCCCAGAUCAGCAGCUAAGGUGCCUAAAUAGUGCUCAGUGGAAAGGAGGUGGGAUUUCAUAGACAGUGAGGAUGUUGGCUUAGAAGCAGCCACCAUUUAAACAAAGCGUAACAGCUGACUCAUCGAGAGAUCCUGCGCCGAAAAUGAUUGGCGAUAAGCACUAUACCGAAGCUCUGGAUGCACAGCUUGCUGUGCGUGGUAGAGGAGCGUUCUCAACACCUUGAAGCCUUAAGGCGACUGAUGGUGGAGCGUUGAGAAGUGAGUAUGUAGACAUGAGUAACGAUAAGCCGGGUGAGAUCCCCGGCCGCCGUAAACCCGAGGUUUCCUGGGCCAUGCUGGUCAUCCCAGGGUUAGUCGGGACCUAAGCCGAGGCCGAUGGGCGUAGGCGAUGGAAAACUGGUUAAUAUUCCAGUACCUCCGAAAACUUAAACUAGAAGGACGCGGGAGUGGAGAAAUAACAACUGACGAAUUAGUUGCUUGAGGCCUUCGGGCUGAUUGGUUUUUCGAAACGACCGCCAAGAAAAGUUCUAGUGUAUGCUAUGGAGCCCGUACCGUAAACCGACACAGGUGGGUGGGUAGAAUAUACUAAGGCGCAAGAGUGAAACCCUGUUAAGGAACUCGGCAAUUUAGCCCCGUAACUUCGGGAGAAGGGGUCCCGGGACUUGUCCCGGGCGCAGUGAAAGGGCCCAUCCGACUGUUUAGCAAAAACACAGCAUUCUGCGAACACGCAAGUGGAAGUAUAGGAUGUGACACGUGACCAAUGCCAAAAGAUUAAGGGGAGGUGUUAGCCUUCGGGCGAAGCUCUGAUCCUAAGUCCUGGUGAAUGUCGGCCGUAACUAUAACGGUCCUAAGGUAGCGAAAUUCCUUGUCGGGUAAGUUCCGACCUGCACGAAUCGUGCAACGAGAUGGGCGCUGUCUCAACAGGGAGCUCAGUGAAAUUGUAUCCGCGGUGAAGAUGCCGCGUACCCGCAGAAGGACGGAAAGACCCUAUAGACCUUAACUGUACGCUGUCACUGGUUUCUCGAUUUUAAUGCUCAGCAUAAGUGGGAGGCUUUGAACCAUUCCUCUAGGGGAAUGGGGAGCCAACAGUGAGAUACCACCCUUUAGCAUUGGGAAAUCUAACCUCUAGCCUUUAUCAGGCAGAGGGACCAUGGCAGCCGGUCAGUUUGACUGGGGCGGUCUCCUCCUAAAGAGUAACGGAGGAGCGCGAAGGUAGGCUCAGCGCGGUUGGCAAUCGCGUUUCGAGUGCAUUGGCAUAAGCCUGCCUAACUGCGAGACUUACAAGUCGAGCAGAGACGAAAGUCGGCCAAAGUGAUCCGGCGGUGGAAUAUGGAAUCGCCGUCGCUCAUCGGACAAAAGGUACCUUAGGGAUAACAGGCUGAUCGCGCCCAAGAGUUCAUAUCGA
rnacentral:rRNA from 1 species